AGUGAACGCUGGCGGUAGGCCUAACACAUGCAAGUCGAACGGCAGCACAGUAAGCGCUCGCUCCUACGGUUGGCGAGUGGCGGACGGGUGAGGCAUGCAUCGGAAUCUUCUUUUACUGGGGUAAUAACGGAGGGAAACUGACGCUAACAGCGCAUAUGACCUACGGGAGAAAGCAAAGGAGCUACGCGCCUUGCCCGACUGAAUGAGCCGAAUCCGGGUUGCAUUGGCUAGUUGGUAAGGUAACGGCACACCAAGGCAACGAUGCAUAGCCGAUCUGAGAGGGUGAUCGGCCACACUGGAACUGAGACACGGUCCAGACUCCUACGGGAGGCAGCAGUGGGGAAUCUUGGACAAUGGGCGCAAGCCUGAUCCAGCAAUACCGCGUGAGUGAUGAAGGCCUUCGGGUUGUAAAGCCCUUUUGUUGGGAAAGAAAAGAAGCAGGUUAAUACGUCGAUGUUUUGACGGUACCCAAAGAAUAAGCACCGGCUAACUUCGUG
rnacentral:rRNA from 1 species